rnacentral:rRNA from 1 species
GACGAACGCUGGCGGCGUGCUUAACACAUGCAAGUCGAACGGAAAGGCCCUGCUUUUGUGGGGUUCUCGAGUGGCGCACGGGUGUGUAACACGUGAGUAACCUGCCCUUUACUUUGGGAUAACUUCAGGAAACUGGGGCUAAUACCGGAUAGGAGCUCCUGCUGCAUGGUGGUGGUUGGAGAGUUUCGGCGGUUGUGGAUGGUCUCGCGGCUUAUGAGCUUGUUGGUGGGGUAGUGGCUUACCAAGGCUUAGACGGAUAGCCGGCCUGAGAGGGUGAACGGCGACAAGGGGACUGAGAGACGGCGCAGACUGCUACGGGAGGCAGCAGGGGGGAAUAUUGCACAAUGGGGGGGAGCGUGAGGCAGAAACGCCGCGUGCGGGAUGACGGUCUUCGGGGUGUAAACCGCUGUCGCCUGUGACGAAGCGUGAGUGACGGUAAUGGGUAAAGAAGCACCGGCUAACUACGUG